GACGAACGCUGGCGGCGUGCUUAACACAUGCAAGUCGAACGGAGUGGCGAACGGGUGAGUAACACGUGGGUGAACUGCCUUGCACUUCGGGGUAAGCUUGGGAAACUGGGUCCAAUACCGGAUAGUGCAAGAUGGGCUCGCGGCCUGUGAGCUCGUUGGGGGGGUAAUGGCCUACCAAGGCGUCGACGGGUAUCCGGCCUGUGAGAGUGUACGGGCACAAUGGGCCUGCGAUACGGACCAGACGGCUACGGGAGGCAGCGGUGGGGAGUAUGGCGCAAUGGUGGCAAGUCUGAUGCAGCGGCGCUGGGGUGGUAAUGUACGUCUUCGGGUUGGAAACUCCUUUCGGCAGGUACGCGGUACCUGCAUAAGAAGCACCGGCUAACUACGUGCCAGCAGCCGCGGUAAUAC
rnacentral:rRNA from 1 species